rnacentral:snRNA from 1 species
AUACUUAUCUGUUGGAGGGGGAUACUGUGAUCAGAAAGUCGGUUCGUCCAUGUACAAGGGGCUGUGCUGACCUCUGUGAGUUCCUCGAACAUGGGAAUCUCGACUGCCCAAUUUCUGGUAGUGGGGGACUGCGAUCGCGGGGAA